rnacentral:rRNA from 1 species
GCAGUCGACGGCAGCGCGGGGCAACCUGGCGGCGAGUGGCGAACGGGUGAGUAAUAUAUCGGAACGUGCCCUGGAGUGGGGGAUAACGCAGCGAAAGUUGCGCUAAUACCGCAUACGAUCUAAGGAUGAAAGCGGGGGAUUCGCAAGAACCUCGUGCUCCUGGAGCGGCCGAUAUCUGAUUAGCUAGUUGGUGGGGUAAAGGCCUACCAAGGCAUCGAUCAGUAGCUGGUCUGAGAGGACGACCAGCCACACUGGAACUGAGACACGGUCCAGACUCCUACGGGAGGCAGCAGUGGGGAAUUUUGGACAAUGGGCGAAAGCCUGAUCCAGCAAUGCCGCGUGAGUGAAGAAGGCCUUCGGGUUGUAAAGCUCUUUUGUCAGGGGAGAAACGGUGUGGGCUAAUAUCCUGCACUAAUGACGGUACCUGAAGAAUAAGCACCGGCUAACUACGUGCCAGCAGCCGCGGUAAUACGUAGGGUGCAAGCGUUAAUCGGAAUUACUGGGCGUAAAGCGUGCGCAGGCGGUUUUGUAAGUCUGUCGUGAAAUCCCCGGGCUCAACCUGGGAAUUGCGAUGGAGACUGUAAGGCUAGAAUCUGGCAGAGGGGGGUAGAAUUCCACGUGUAGCAGUGAAAUGCGUAGAGAUGUGGAGGAACACCGAUGGCGAAGGCAGCCCCCUGGGUCAAGAUUGACGCUCAUGCACGAAAGCAUG